rnacentral:rRNA from 1 species
GCCCUAGCGGCGAACGGGUGAGUAACACGUGGGCAACCUGCCCUCAGCUCUGGGAUAACUCCAAGAAAUUGGUGCUAAUACCGGAUGUGACCGCUGACCGCAUGGUCUGGUGGUGGAAAGAUUCAUCGGCUGAGGAUGGGCCCGCGGCCUAUCAGCUUGUUGGUGGGGUCACGGCCCACCAAGGCGACGACGGGUAGCCGGCCUGAGAGGGUGACCGGCCACACUGGGACUGAGACACGGCCCAGACUCCUACGGGAGGCAGCAGUGGGGAAUAUUGCGCAAUGGGCGAAAGCCUGACGCAGCGACGCCGCGUGAGGGAUGACGGCCUUCGGGUUGUAAACCUCUUUCAGUAGGGACGAAGCGAAAGUGACGGUACCUACAGAAGAAGCACCGGCCAACUACGUGCCAGCAGCCGCGGUAAUACGUAGGGUGCAAGCGUUGUCCGGAAUUAUUGGGCGUAAAGAGCUCGUAGGCGGUCUGUCGCGUCGGCUGUGAAAACCCGAGGCUCAACCUCGGGCCUG